ACGGGAGGCAGCAGUAGGGAAUCUUCCACAAUGGACGAAAGUCUGAUGGAGCAACGCCGCGUGAGUGAAGAAGGGUUUCGGCUCGUAAAACUCUGUUGUUAAAGAAGAACAUAUCUGAGAGUAACUGUUCAGGUAUUGACGGUAUUUAACCAGAAAGCCACGGCUAACUACGUGCCAGCAGCCGCGGUAAUACGUAGGUGGCAAGCGUUGUCCGGAUUUAUUGGGCGUAAAGCGAGCGCAGGCGGUUUUUUAAGUCUGAUGUGAAAGCCUUCGGCUCAACCGAAGAAGUGCAUCGGAAACUGGGAAACUUGAGUGCAGAAGAGGACAGUGGAACUCCAUGUGUAGCGGUGAAAUGCGUAGAUAUAUGGAAGAACACCAGUGGCGAAGGCGGCUGUCUGGUCUGUAACUGACGCUGAGGCUCGAAAGUAUGGGUAGCAAACAGGAUUAGAUACCCUGGUAGUCCAUACCGUAAACGAUGAAUGCUAAGUGUUGGAGGGUUUCCGCCCUUCAGUGCUGCAGCUAACGCAUUAAGCAUUCCGCCUGGGGAGUACGGCCGCAAGUCUGAAACUCAAAGGAAUUGACGGGGGCCCGCACAAGCGGUGGAGCAUGUGGUUUAAUUCGAAGCUACGCGAAGAACCUUACCAGGUCUUGACAUACUAUGCAAAUCUAAGAGAUUAGACGUUCCCUUCGGGGACAUGGAUACAGGUGGUGCAUGGUUGUCGUCAGCUCGUGUCGUGAAAUGUUGGGUUAAGUCCCGCAACGAGCGCAACCCUUAUUAUCAGUUGCCAGCAUUAAGUUGGGCACUCUGGUGAGACUGCCGGUGACAAACCGGAGGAAGGUGGGGAUGACGUCAAAUCAUCAUGCCCCUUAUGACCUGGGCUACACACGUGCUACAAUGGAUGGUACAACGAGUUGCGAACUCGCGAGAGUAAGCUAAUCUCUUAAAGCCAUUCUCAGUUCGGAUUGUAGGCUGCAACUCGCCUACAUGAAGUCGGAAUCGCUAGUAAUCGCGGAUCAGCAUGCCGCGGUGAAUACGUUCCCGGGCCUUGUACACACCGCCCGUCACACCAUGAGAGUUUGUAACACCCAAAGUCGGUGGGGUAACCUUUU
rnacentral:rRNA from 1 species